UGCCCAGUGGAGGAGGAGAAUGGCUAGCCAGCAGGCAGCCACCGCAGCAGCAACGGGGAGGAGGUGGGCGCGGAUGGCGGUGAGAUCGCUGCAUUUGGCAGCGAUGGAGAGCAAAACAAUCGACCGACUCUCUACGACGGAAUCCAUUAGCAGUUGCAGAGUUACUUCUGUAUGAAGGUGAUAGCGUCCGGUUCAUCGAUGAACUUUGCAAGCUUUGUUCUUUGUAAAAAGCAAUUGCAGAUCAAUAUAUGAAGAAAUCAGAAGGAAGUUUCUGAUUCCUACAAUGGUAGAUGAUUUUUUUUACCAAGUCAAAGUGACUGCUCCAUGAAGAAAACACCUUCCCUGAUGCAUGAGGGAGGCAGAGAAAGCUUCUUGAGAUAAAGUAUGGGACAGGCAUCUUCCAGGAAUCUAAUCUAGAUCAAGCUGAUGGCAUCGAUACCCACAGAAAGAUGUAAUCUAAGAAUAAUCUAAGUGAGGGAGGAUCUUGCAGCACAUCCCGACAAUCGAGCAGGGUUUAGAAGUGCAAAGCUUGAGUUGCUCAAACCCUAAUAAACUGUGCAUUAUGCAAGUUUUGCAAGUGGUAUUAAAUUUAGUGGCUUGUGUCUGCUCAUGAUGCAAGUCUGAGGAUUAAAAUUUCAAGCUUGGCGAAGCAGAGAAGAUAAAGACUGCAAGCUAUGUAUCAUAAGAUUAGUCAGCUGAUGCAACCAUUCUUUUGAUUUAUUACCUAAAUCAGAAGGACUUUUAUUCUCAGAGACUACACACGACAUCAAGAGAAUUAAGAAAAGGAGAGUCAUCCAUAGUUCAAAAUUGACUACUCUCUCCGCAGUUCAAAAUUGGCAGGUGAGGUUCCUGGUUGUUGUAUUGAUAGUGAGUGAAUAAUAAAAUGCUGGUAGCUUCACAUGCAAGGAAAUGGAGAUUUUAUGUUAAAGCUUUAAAGUUUAAAAGAGAAAUUUUAUAAAAUGACGGUUAGAACUGCUAUGAUGUAUGGAACUAAAUGUUCGAUUAUGAAGUCAGUACAUAAGUAGAAAAUGAGAGUU